rnacentral:rRNA from 1 species
UACGUAGGGGGCAAGCGUUGUCCGGAUUUAUUGGGCGUAAAGAGCGUGUAGGCGGUCAGGUAGGUCCGUUGUGAAAACUUGAGGCUCAACCUCGAGACGCCGAUGGAAACCAUCUGACUAGAGUCCGGAAGAGGGAAGCGGAAUUUCCGGUGUAGCGGUGAAAUGCGUAGAUAUCGGAAGGAACACCAGUGGCGAAAGCGGCUUCCUGGUCCAGCACCGACGUUCAGGCACGAAAGCGUGGGGAGCAAACAGG